AACGAACGCUGGCGGCAGGCUUAACACAUGCAAGUCGAACGCAUCCUUCGGGGUGAGUGGCAGACGGGUGAGUAACGCGUGGGAACGUGCCCUUCAGUUCGGGAUAACCCAGGGAAACUUGGGCUAAUACCCGAUACGUGCGCGAGCAGAAAGAUUUAUCGCUGAAGGAUCGGCCCGCGUCUGAUUAGCUAGUUGGUGGGGUAAUGGCCCACCAAGGCGACGAUCAGUAGCUGGUGUGAGAGGAUGAUCAGCCACAUUGGGACUGAGACACGGCCCAAACUCCUACGGGAGGCAGCAGUGGGGAAUAUUGGACAAUGGGCGCAAGCCUGAUCCAGCCAUGCCGCGUGAGUGAUGAAGGCCUUAGGGUUGUAAAGCUCUUUCGUCCGGGACGAUAAUGACGGUACCGGAAGAAGAAGCCCCGGCUAACUUCGUGCCAGCCGCCGCAGUAA
rnacentral:rRNA from 1 species